rnacentral:lncRNA from 1 species
AUAGAUAGAUAGGUAGAUAAAUAGAUAGAGAGGGAGAGGGAGAGAGAGAGAAAGAGAAAGAGAGAGAGAGAGAGAGAGAGAGAGAGAGAGAGAGAGAGAGGUCCACAUGUUUAAGGCAAUAGAGUCGAUAGCCAAGCCUAUAAAGAAGAGGUAAGAAGAGAAAACAUAUAAAGAGAGAGAGAGAGAGAGAGAGAGAGAGAGAGAGAGGUCCACAUGUUUAAGGCAAUAGAGUCGAUAGCCAAGCCUAUAAAGAAGAGGUAAGAAGAGAAAAC